rnacentral:rRNA from 1 species
GAUUUCUGGUAUGAUGUGCGUGGCCCGUCCUCGUCAGAGGUACGUGUGCCGCUGUGCGUUUACCAUCCUUCUAGAUUGGAGCACUGGCCUUCAUUGGUUCGGUGUUUUCGGUCUAGAUCUUUUACUUUGAAAAAAUUAGAGUGUUUAAAGCAGGCUUGCGCUAUGAAUACAUUAGCAUGGAAUAAUAAUUUAGGACUUUGUUUCUAUUUUGUUGGUUUCUAGAGGCGAAGUAAUGAUUGAUAGGGAUAGUUGGGGGUGCUAGUAUUCAGCGGCCAGAGGUGAAAUUCUUGGAUUCGCUGAAGACUAACUUAUGCGAAAGCAUU